rnacentral:rRNA from 1 species
UGAGGAAUAUUGGUCAAUGGGCGAGAGCCUGAACCAGCCAAGUAGCGUGAGGGAUGACUGCCCUAUGGGUUGUAAACCUCUUUUGAUUGGGAACAAAGAGCGCCACGUGUGGUGCGUUGCGUGUACCUUUCGAAUAAGCAUCGGCUAAUUCCGUGCCAGCAGCCGCGGUAAUACGGAAGAUGCGAGCGUUAUCCGGAUUUAUUGGGUUUAAAGGGAGCGUAGGCGGGCUGUUAAGUCAGCGGUCAAAUGUCAGGGCCCAACCUUGGCAUGCCGUUGAUACUGGCGGCCUUGAGUUCACACAAGGAAGGUGGAAUUCGUCGUGUAGCGGUGAAAUGCUUAGAUAU